rnacentral:tRNA from 1 species
GACGAGAAGGCAGAAGGGUUAUGCGCGGCGUUGCAACCGCCGUAUGUGUCGGUUCAAGUCCGGCUCUCGUCU